UGGGGAAUAUUGCGCGAUGGGCGAAAGCCUGACGCAGCGACGCCGCGUGAGGGAUGAAGGUUUUCGGAUCGUAAACCUCUGUCAGAAGGGAAGAAACCGCACUGUGCUAAUCAGCAGUGCCUUGACGGUACCUUCAAAGGAAGCACCGGCUAACUCCGUGCCAGCAGCCGCGGUAAUACGGAGGGUGCAAGCGUUAAUCGGAAUUACUGGGCGUAAAGCGCACGUAGGCUGCUUUGUAAGUCAGGGGUGAAAUCCCACGGCUCAACCGUGGAACUGCCUUUGAUACUGCUUAGCUUGAAUCCGGGAGAGGGUGGCGGAAUUCCAGGUGUAGGAGUGAAAUCCGUAGAUAUCUGGAGGAACAUCAGUGGCGAAGGCGGCCACCUGGACCGGUAUUGACGCUGAGGUGCGAAAGCGUGGGGAGCAAACAGG
rnacentral:rRNA from 1 species